rnacentral:rRNA from 1 species
CCUACGGGUGGCAGCAGUGGGGGAUAUUGCACAAUGGGGGAAACCCUGAUGCAGCGACGCCGCGUGAGUGAAGAAGUAUUUCGGGAUGUAAAGCUCUAUCAGCAGGGAAGAAAAUGACAGUACCUGACCAAGAAGCUCCGGCUAACCACGUGCCAGCAGCCGCGGGAAUACGUAGGGGGCAAGCGUUAUCCGGAUUUACUGGGGGUAAAGGGAGCGUAGACGGUUAGGUAAGUCAGGAGUGAAAUUGCGGGGCCCAACCCCGGGACUGCGUUGGAAACUGUGUAACUGGAGUACAGGAGGGGCAGGCGGAAUUCCUGGUGUAGCGGUGAAAUGCGUAGAUAUCAGGAGGAACACCGGCGGCGAAGGCGGCCUGCUGGACUGAAACUGACGUUGAGGCUCGAAAGCGUGGGGAGCAAACAGGAUUAGAUACCCGUGUAGUC